CAAAUCCGGCGUCUCCCCCUCCCCCUCCCCCAAAAUUCCUUCCAAAAUCUCAACUUUUCCUUUCCAGUUCCACUGCCAAUUUCCAAUCACUUCCCGCUCGUUUUCCCCCUCCCAAUUCUUUAAAAAAAAUUCAUUCCUUCUCGCUCAUUCUUUCACCAAAUAUCACAUACAUUUCCUCAUAUACAGACCCACUUAUUCUGUAGAGCAACAGCGUUUUGUCACUGUUGAUUCUCAACUCAAAUUGAAAUUCACUUGAAUUUAAAGAUGUCGCAUUGAGUAAGAUGGACUUCCAUUCCUAGGGUUCCCAGGUUGCUAGAUGAGGAAGACAAUGGCUGGACUGAAACUAGGUAUGAGGAUACUGAUAUAUCUCUUUCUUUAGAGGACAACGAUAUACCUGAUGUAAGGAAAAGGCGUCCUAACCACGGUGCGAAUGGUUGUCCAAAUGAAACUAGAAGAAUUCUUUUAACCGUGAGAGAUGAUAGGUAUGUAUCCUAACCUUUUUUUAGUUUGUGUUGAAUGCAAAAUGAUUUCAUUGGUUUUAAAACUUACUAAAGAGGAUGUAUAAUUUGCACUGCUUGUGUGGUUAAUGAUUUAUGCUUAACAAUGUUAACCAUUGAAGUAAAUGAAUAUCCUUUAUGAUUUUUUCAGGUUAUUCUCGUACAUUUAGAAGAAAUCACCAUGUAAAAGCACAUAAUUCAGAUUUUAUCUCCUACAUUUUGACAAGUUGUAUAGAUUAGAAGGUUUGGUGUUCUGUGCAACCUUACAACCUUAUAGACAAAACUUAUGUGCUGAUAAGUUUAGAUCAGCUGCAAUAAAAAAAAAGUUAUGGGAGGCUGUGAUUUAUUAAGUUUUAGAAUUUUCGCAAUUGAUUAAGUUUAGGAGAGUUAAAAUUGGAAAGAAGACAAAGCACUUUGUCCAGGAUAAAAUGUUGGUUUUGCUUUGACAUUGCAAUCAACUUGUGUGAAUUAUUCCCCCAAUUACUUUCUACUUCAAUUCAGUGUUUGAAGAUACAGAGACAAAAAAAUGCAUUCAUUUGCUUUAAAAAAAUCAACAAGUUACAUUUUGAAGAAAGUAAAAUAGUUGUUUGCUUCAGUUUUCCUACUAUUUGCCUGAAUCCCUCACUCCUUUAAGUUCCAUGCUAUCUGGUUUAAGUUUCCUGCCUCUGUUUUCAUGCUUUUAGAUUCCUUACUAUCUCAGCAUCAUGUAAUACAUUAAUUUAGUUAUUAAAAAAAUAAAAAAAAUAGAAGAAG
rnacentral:lncRNA from 1 species